UAGGGAAUCUUCCGCAAUGGACGCAAGUCUGACGGAGCAACGCCGCGUGAGUGAAGAAGGAUUUCGGUUCGUAAAACUCUGUUGUUAGAGAAGAACAGCGCAUAGAGUAACUGUUAUGCGUGUGACGGUAUCUAACCAGAAAGCCACGGCUAACUACGUGCCAGCAGCCGCGGUAAUACGUAGGUCCCGAGCGUUGUCCGGAUUUAUUGGGCAUAAAGCGAGCGCAGGCGGUUAGAAAAGUCUGAAGUGAAAGGCAGUGGCUCAACCAUUGUAGGCUUUGGAAACUGUUUAACUUGAGUGCAGAAGGGGAGAGUGGAAUUCCAUGUGUAGCGGUGAAAUGCGUAGAUAUAUGGAGGAACACCGGUGGCGAAAGCGGCUCUCUGGUCUGUAACUGACGCUGAGGCUCGAAAGCGUGGGGAGCGAACAGG
rnacentral:rRNA from 1 species